GCCCAGAUUAAAAAAAGGUAAAAAAUCAUAAAUGCGAUUGAAUAAAUUAAUUUCUUAACAAAGAGAGUCUUAAUUAAUGCUACCGACAACCGGGCAAAUUUGAAAAUAAAGGUCAGAAGGACAAAAAAGGGUUAAAAGGGCGAUUUUAUUCUGCGCGUGGUAGCGGCGGCUGCACUCAUGCACGCACUUGCAUGGAAUUCCUGCUGCUGCUGCCUGCCUCUGUUGUGGAGCGGGGGAGGGGCGACGGGCAGCAGGACUAGCGAGCAGCAGCAGCAAGAGACUUACAAAUUCCUGCUUCGCUCUCUUUGUCUUACGCGUCAACGGUCAACCGCCGUUCAAAUCAAAGUUAUUAACGGACGCAGGACGCCGGACACCGCCAGUAUGGGACAACACGGACGUCCCGCGGACUCGGACGGAUGGCCUGGAUCCAUCGGUUAACAAGCUUCAAGAGCCUUCCGGUGACAUUUUGCACGACGAAAAAAGAUGCAAUCGUUAAAGUUCUGCAGUUUGGGCUUCAAGAUAAGGCGGUGCUGGCAUCGUAUGAUAGAAAAUUUUGUAGCUAUAAUAUAUGUGAUGUGAUUGAUAACUAAUAAAUAAUGCAUAUUUUUAAAAUUUAAA